GUCAGGCAUGGUGGCUCAUGCCUGUAAUCCUAGCACUUUGGGAGGCUGAGGCAGGAGGAUCACUUGAGCCCAGGAGUUUUGGGCUGCAGUGAGCAAUGAUCGUGCCACUGCACUCCAGCCUGAGCAACAGAGAAAGACUCUGUCUCUG
rnacentral:SRP_RNA from 1 species